UUAGAACUCUGGUGAAGGAACUAGGCAAAAUAGCACCGUAACUUCGGGAGAAGGUGCGCUGUUGACGGUGAAGGGCCUGCGCCCGGAGCUGUUGGCAGCCGAAGUAACCAGGCCGCUGCAACUGUUUAUUAAAAACACAGCACUCUGUAAACACGAAAGUGGACGUAUAGGGUGUGACGCCUCCCCGGUGCCGGAAGGUUAAUUGAUGGGGUCAGCCGCAAGGCGAAGCUCUUGAUCGAAGCCCCGGUAAACGGCGGCCGUAACUAUAACGGUCCUAAGGUAGCGAAAUUCCUUGUCGGGUAAGUUCCGACCUGCACGAAUGGCGUAAUGAUGGCGGCGCUGUCUCCACCAGAGACUCAGUGAAAUCGAAAUCGCGGUGAAGAUGCCGUGUACCCGUGGCUAGACGGAAAGACCCCGUGAACCUUUACUGUAGCUUCACACUGGACUUUGACAUGAUCUGUGUAGGAUAGCUGGGAGGCUUUGAAGUGGUGACGCUAGUUGCCAUGGAGCCGUCCUUGAAAUACCAGCCUGGUCCUGUCGGGGUUCUAACGUCGACCUGUUAUCCAGGUUACGGACAGUGUGUGGUGGGCAGUUUGACUGGGGCGGUCUCCUCCCAAAGAGUAACGGAGGAGCACGAAGGUGCGCUAAUGACGGUCGGAAAUCGUCAGGUUAGUGUAAAGGCACAAGCGCGCUUGACUGCGAGACAGACAAGUCGAGCAGGUACGAAAGUAGGUCUUAGUGAUCCGGUGGUUCUGUAUGGAAGGGCCAUCGCUCAACGGAUAAAAGGUACUCCGGGGAUAACAGGCUGAUACCGCCCAAGAGUUCAUAUCGACGGCGGUGUUUGGCACCUCGAUGUCGGCUCAUCACAUCCUGGGGCUGAAGCCGGUCCCAAGGGUAUGGCUGUUCGCCAUUUAAAGUGGUACGCGAGCUGGGUUUAGAACGUCGUGAGACAGUUCGAUCCCUAUCUGCCAUGGGCGUUGGAGAUUUGAGAAGAGUUGCUCCUAGUACGAGAGGACCGGAGUGAACGAACCUCUGGUGUACCGGUUGUCACGCCAGUGGCAUUGCCGGGUAGCUAAGUUCGGACGGGAUAACCGCUGAAAGCAUCUAAGCGGGAAGCCUCCUUCAAGAUGAGAUCUCCCUGGAGCUUUAAGCUCCCUGAAGGGCCGUCGAAGACUACGACGUUGAUAGGCGAGGUGUGGAAGCGUUGUGAGGCGUUGAGCUGACUCGUACUAAUUGCCCGUGCGGCUUGACU
rnacentral:rRNA from 1 species